AUUUAAGUAGUUUAUUUAUAAAAUUCUGAUUUGUGGUGUCAGAGAUACAGAAUUGUCUGUCUUUAAUC
rnacentral:tRNA from 1 species